GACGAACGCUGGCGGCGUGCCUAAUACAUGCAAGUAGAACGCACAGUUUAUACCGUAGCUUGCUACACCAUAGACUGUGAGUUGCGAACGGGUGAGUAACGCGUAGGUAACCUGCCUGGUAGCGGGGGAUAACUAUUGGAAACGAUAGCUAAUACCGCAUAAUAUUAAUUAUUGCAUGAUAAUUAAUUGAAAGGUGCAAUUGCACCACUACCAGAUGGACCCGCGUUGUAUUAGCUAGUAGGUGAGGUAACGGCUCACCUAGGCGACGAUACAUAGCCGACCUGAGAGGGUGAUCGGCCACACUGGGACUGAGACACGGCCCAGACUCCUACGGGAGGCAGCAGUAGGGAAUCUUCGGCAAUGGACGAAAGUCUGACCGAGCAACGCCGCGUGAGUGAAGAAGGUUUUCGGAUCGUAAAGCUCUGUUGUAAGAGAAGAACGGGUGUGAGAGUGGAAAGUUCACACUGUGACGGUAGCUUACCAGAAAGGGACGGCUAACUACGUG
rnacentral:rRNA from 1 species